GCAUUGUAAACCAAAGCAUUAGGCUUUGGUUCAAAUUCCUCAACCUCAACGUCAACCUCAACAAAAGGUUUUUUCACUUUUUCAUGGCAGUCGGCUUUCUCUUUUGGUGUUGAAUCAGAAAUAUCAACAAGGAGGCCUUCAAUUGCCCGUGGCAUAGGUUGCUCUUGCAUGACAUUUUUCCAGUAUUUCCCGGCAUCUCUUCUUGAAUCUGUAGUUUUGGCAAAC